rnacentral:misc_RNA from 1 species
UCGCGGCUUAUCACCGGCAGUCCCCUUAGAGUGCCCAACUGAAUGAUGGCAACUAAGGGCGAGGGUUGCGCUCGUUGCGGGACUUAACCCAACAUCUCACGACACGAGCUGACGACAGCCAUGCAGCACCUGUCUCACGGUUCCCGAAGGCACCAAUCCAUCUCUGGAAAGUUCCGUGGAUGUCAAGGCCAGGUAAGGUGGGGAUGACGUCUCUAGGAGGGUG